rnacentral:tRNA from 1 species
AGUAACAUAUUAAAAUGAUUUUGAAAGUCAUUACCAGGUGGUUAAUCUCACCAUGUUACUU